rnacentral:lncRNA from 1 species
UUUUUUUUUUUUUUUUUUUUUUGGUUGGGGAAAUAUUACAAGCCUAUCAUGUGAUGUAAUUUCGAGGAUAACAAAGGCAUAACAAACCAUUUUACCCAAAUGCAUAACAUCUAUCAAUACUAGCAUUAGCAAUCAGAAAGAAGGUUUAUUUCUUAUAUUUGAACAAAGCAAGAAAAAAUUUGGAGGAUUUUGACCAAAAAUUCUAUAUAGUAUCAAGAGAAGUGUUAAAGAAAAAGGAAGAAAUAAUAUUCUACGAAAAAAGUGGAAAAUCAGGACUAAAGUUACGAGUUAAAUAAUAAGCAAAAAUAUGUCAAAUAUUAAAAGAAGCAUACAAACUGAAAAAAAAGAAGUAAGAAAAGAACACAUAAAACUAGAGAAAGGGGCGUGAUGUUUAUUUCAUUGCUUAUUUUUGAAUAAAAAUAUAGUGUGAUGCCUAUUUUACCUCUGAAACUAUUAUUUUUAACCAAUAAACGGACUAAGAUCUUAAUAUAAAAGUAGUCUGUUUCAUUUUUGUAAGGGAUCAAUUUGCAUGAUUUUGAAAGUAAGGGGUGUAAAGGCUAUAUAUGCAAUAUAAAAGGGACUAAUUUAGUGAUUUUCCCAAAAUAUGUUGUAGACCAAGAAGCUGUUUGCUCCGCUCCUGAUCAACGGUACUAUGCGAGCCACGUCUACGGAAGUCUUUGAAGCUCGAUAGGCUGAGCGCCGAUCACAAUUCAAUCUAUGGAAAACCUCUUUCUGCAGGCGCCAGUAGUAAAAGUAGGGCUGCAAGUCAAUUCAGUAGUUUGAUUCGAACUCGCAAGGAACUCGGUCAGCUGUUUAACUUGAGCUCGAUUAAAGUCGAAUUCGAGUUAUUCGAUUGAGUUUUCGAGUCAAAUUUGAGUAAGAAUAUUAAGUGUUCGAAAGGUCGUCGAGAUUUAUCAAGUACUCGCUAUAAUAUUUUAAUUAAUAUUUUAAAAAUAAUUAAAUUAUUCCUUCAGCUGUAAAUUCUUUGACAAGCUCGAGUACUGGCUCGAUUUUCAACGAACUAGACUCGAGCCUAGAAUAUAUUAUUUCAAGUCGAGUUCGAACACAGUAUAACUAACUUACUCAAGCAAUAUAUCUGUCAUGGCCCCAAAUGUAUUAGAUAAUCCAAAUUCUUAGUUGUUAAUAUUGUAGUUUAGUGGAGGGCUUUGGAUUGAUUAGUAAAGAUAAGCAUGUAUAUAUAGUUGUAAAUGGUGGAAAGCCAUUAGGCAAUAUCAGAAUUUUCAAGUCAAUUUCUCUCUCAUAUUCCUAGUUCCUUUGUCUCUCCCUGUUCUUUCUCGAUUCCUCCUUUUCCUUCUUCUUCUUCUUCAACUAGUCUUCUUUGUAUCUUCUUCUUGAUGCUGGGUUCUGACAAUUGAUAUCAGAGCUGCUCUUCCUUGGACUGCUAUUGAUUUCAAUUGCAAGUUCUGUUUCUUUCUUCCCUUCCCUUUCCUCUCUAUUUUUUCUUCUUUUCUCUCUCUACUCUAUCUCUGAUCCUUCCUAUUUUCUAUUUCUGAUUCCUUCUUGUUAACCUUUCAAGAUUCACCAAUAAUCCACUACUACUACUAUUACCGAAUUGAGUUCCAAAUUCCCACCAUAUUAAAUUGUACCAAUGGAUGAAAAUAAUGUCUAUGAACUCUUAAAAGGCCAAAUCAAGAAGGGAAACUUGAAUAUGGAUGAGUUGCAGGAACAAAUUGAAUUACAAGCUCAAAGAUUUCAAGAAUAGUUGGCUGCAAAAGGAAAGGGUGGCUAUCAUAAGUUGGAUGUAACAAUGUACAAAUUCAAUUGUAAUUUCAAUAUUAUGCUUCGAAUACUCAGUCAUAAAAAGGGGUAUACACUGGAAAAGCAUCAAAGAAUUAUUGGGGAAAAGCCUACCACAUCCAUUCAAACCAAGGAGGUCCCUCUUUCAAAAUCUACCCCAAUCAAGAAAUGGACUAAUGCAUAUUCGGCGACAGUAUAAACAAAAAAGUUUAGAGCCUUCCAUGGUGAAAUGGAAGAACAUUUGGAAGGUGACUACAGUUUUGCAAUUGAAGAACACCACUUGUUUGAUGAAAGUUCAAAGCUUCCUUCUUCAGUCAUUUCAGUUUAAGGGGAGUUGAAACAUUCAACAUGGGGCAAUGAACGAGAAUUAGAAUUCAAGAAUCAACUUCUUGAAACUGAGACAAUUAAUUUGAAUCAGAAGUUGAUUGAGGAAAAAGUUGGCAUGAUUUCUUUUCCACAAUUUUCAAGUACUGACUUGGUUAUGUCUUCUAAGGAAAAUUCUAGACAAGAUGAAAAAUGUGAUGAAAUCAUCUUAAAUCAUCAAGUGCUGGAUGACAUAGAGAUUGAAACUCAUGGAAUUGGUAUUCAAGAAAAUGUUGAUAUUGAGUCACACGACUUGGAAUUGAUGAAAGGAGAGAUUAAUAUGUCUAAAUCUAUUGAGGGUUGUCAUAAACUAGAAAGGCAAAGAUUGCAAGAUGAAGUGGAAGAGCCUAGUGUAUUGCAGCUAUAGGUUGUUGUUCAAAAAAAUCACAAAGCUGUUGAAGAAUUCAGAUUGUUGAUGUUGUUAGAAGGUCCUGGAUUGAUUGGAGAUUAUGUAAUUAGUGCCUCGAAGGCAGACACCAAAUUUGUGCUACAGUUUUUUAAGCUAGGAGACCUCAUAGAGGUUAUCGCAAGUGUUUUCCUUCAAGAGCACUUGGCUGGAAUCAUCGGAAAGGAGUCCAAAUUUGUGAUUAAAGCAUGGGCUGAAAUUAUUAUUGGGUUCAAAGGUGGCACUCUUACAAGAAGUAUUAAUCAAAGUCCAAGCCAAAAUUAUAGAAUAGCCACUUGGGUAAACUUGAAUAAUGGUUGCAUGUCUCUCCUUGAAGAUGUUUCUAGUGAUCAAGAUUCAUCCUUUGCUACUGAAUCAAAUACAAGUUUCACACUUGUUUUUGAUGGCCUUAGUGGUUACCAAGCUGGUAUGGAUGUGGAAAUGAUUAAAUCAAUGGCACUGGAUUGAGUGUGUGACUACAUUUAAGGGUGGUACUGGUAGUUUGACGGAAUUGUUGCAUUCAAGAGUUUCACAUUUACUCUUUAAGAACUAUGUGUAGAAGUUAGAAAACUUAAAGCUCAAAAUUCAGAAAUGGAAUAGGGUUAGGGACCGGCUACAACAGGAUGUUGCAAAGGAGUGGUUCCAACUUAGAAAACAACUUUUGACAGAGUUUUGGAAGGGUGAGAUCAAAGAGAUUUCUCUGUUGCACCCUGUCUUUGAGUAGCACAAUGCCAUUAGGAAAGCAACUGGUAUUAGAAGAUUAUGAAGCUGCAUUUUGAUUGUCUGAAGUUGGCCAAGAUAGUUCACAAGAUUUCUAUGAAUGUUGCAUUUCUCCAGUUUUCAGUUUCAAAACUCAAUCCUUGAGGACAAGGAUUCUAUUAAGGGGGGAGUAUUGUCAUGGCCCCAAAUGUAUUAGAUAAUCCAAAUUCUUAGUUGUUAAUAUUGUAGUUUAGUGGAGGGCUUUGGAUUGAUUAGUAAAGAUAAGCAUGUAUAUAUAGUUGUAAAUGGUGAAAAGCCAUUAGGCAAUAUCAGAAUUUUCAAGUCAAUUUCUCUCUCAUAUUCCUAGUUCCUCUGUCUCUCUUUGUUCUUCCUCGAUUCCUCCUUUUCCUUCUUCUUCUUCUUCAACUAGUCUUCCUUGUAUCUUCUUCUUCUCGAGCCUAGAAUAUAUUAUUUCAACUCGAGUUCGAACACAGUAUAACUAACUUACUCAAGCAAUAUAUCUAAUUAUCGAGCUCGAACUCAAAUAUGAGAGUACUCGAACACAUAAUAGUCCCAAAUAAACCACCAAACAAUUUGUCGAAUAUGUAAUGUGCAGGUUUUCUAAUUCUAUUUAAUCUUCCCAUAUUUUUUUUAGUACUCCUAUUAUGGCUAGCUUUCAAUUUUUCGUAUACUGAGGGUAGCAAUGUAUGAACAUUUUUUCUAAAAAACGAAAAAAAAAAGAUUUCUGUCAAAUCUUAGUGGAUACACUUAUGGAUUAAGUGUCUUGAGUCUAUUAACCUCUUAUUCUCUUAUCAGGAAUGUGCAAUAGGUGAUGAUACAACAAAAAUUUAGUGAAAAGUUUUGGUACUCUUUCUUUUUUUUACUCUUUUACCACUACAUAACCGUUCAAAUAUGCCGUAAAUGUAAUGCAACAAAACGAAUGGUAGCCUUCCACAUCAAUUUUAACAUUUCACGGAAGGCGCAAACUCUCAACGAGUCAAAAGUAAUAAUCAAUGCAUUUACAAAAUUGCAGGAGUAAUUCUCAGGAAUAAACAAACAAUACUUAAAAACCACCAACAGAUUUUUUUUCUCUCCAUAUUUUUUUUAUUUUUAAAAUUUUUUUUUCCUCCCCUGAUACCCGCUUGAGUUGCAAAAGAAACUGGGCAAUACAUACAAGAAAUUUUAAGAAUUUUUGACAACCAAUAUAGCAAACCUUUACACAUCUAAUUCUUGUUCCUUUUUGCUUCAAACUUUGUGGCUUCUUUAAGUGAUUCUUGAGCAUCAUUGUCCAUCCCUAGGGUGAACAGGACGGCUGCUUGAAGGUAGAAGGCAGUGGGCCAUUCGGGCGAUACUACAUGAGCUUGCAUAGCAUCCCCCAGAGCUUCUUGUGCCAUUUCACUCAUCAGAUAGGCUAAGCAGCGUCUGGCAUAUACAGUGGGUGACACCAUGGUUCCACCAUCAACGAACUGCAUCAUGACCAAGUCUUACUCAAGGCUUUCUUUCCCAGUAAUAGGAAAAGCACACAUUUUGGAGAACCUUUUAGCUAUUUAACACGUUAGGUUUCCCUCAAAAUCACCAAAAUUCAGGUUCAACUCCCUAAAGGACAGCACAUGAAAUCAAUUUUCAUAUUGCCUUUUAAGCAUUCCUCAUGUCUGCCAUUAAUUCCGGUACUAAACCAAAUUUAGCCAUAUCAACAAGUUUUAUCUCAUGGUAGCGUGUACUCUUGGCAAAUUAAUACUCCUGAACAAGCUCAAACUUCUGAGCCUGCCACUGCUAGAAGAUUGUGUAAUCCUCGAGCCAGUGCCUAAGAUAGAGAGACGGCAAAAAAGUGAUCAUACCUGUGUAUAACAAUCAAUGGCAGUGGUGAAAUCCUUUGCUCGAAAAGCUGCAUCUCCUUGCUUCUUAGAAUUCAAAGUUUCCUGCAUUUGAUUUGUCCACAUCUGGAAAGAAAGCUGCAGGGACCAAGUGCUCAAACAAUAUCAAACCGUUGUUGCUGAUUUAAGAUAUGCAAGCACAACACAGAACAGCAGUGUAACUUCAAAUGCAGAAAGAUCAAACUACACUGUUUGAGAGCUUCAAGAUAUCGUUGUAUUUUACAAACUUUACAAUGUAAAAAUGAUUAUCUGCAAUCCUUGAAGGGGAGGGGUGCCAAUGUGUCCUUAGGCAAUUAAGUUGUUCUGUUUCUUAAUUUUGAAAGAAAACAUGGAAAAAAGCUUGUAAUGCACAUGCCCACAGCGCAUUCAAUUUCCUUAAAACAUAUCUUAUCCACAAAUGAACAGAGUUAUAAUGGUUGUGUUUUAAUUGUUAAGAGUAAUAACAAAGUAAACAGAAAAAAAGAAUGACUAGAAUUUAUAGUAGAAGCUAAUUUGUCAGGGACCAGAAAAACCUUGGAAUAAGCAUACCACUUAUACAGUCCCAAUUAGCUAUGAAACGAGAAUUAUGCCACCAAAAAAUAUAUGAAACUUUGAACGAAUAUAACUCACCUCAUUUGCAAUUCCUUCAUCAUCCUUAUAUCCAGCCUUUUCCAACAUUUCAUGGAUGGCAGUGAGAUCCAUUCUCAAGCAAGCUUCACCCAUAGGUGUCAACAGCAAUGGUUCCACUGGGCUUGCAGAACCAUGAGAUAUGCCCAUCAGAACAUAAGAAGGAACCUGGUGAACAAAGGUCAGAAACACUUUCUCGUAAAACCCCAUAAGAAAAUAAUCUUCCACUCUGGCAAGUGAAAAGACACUAGCCUCCACCUAAACAAUGAAUGUCUCAGGGCAAAAUCAAAGUUAAAUUGGACAUAGCUUUUUUUUCCAUUUAAUGAAACAUGAUGAAAUGGAAUUAGCAGAUUUCUGAGAAUUUGCAUAUACUCUAGGCAGAGGUAAUGUGUAUCAUCUGUGGAUACCUCUGAAUCUUUUUGAAGAGACAAAAGAGCAGUAACAAGUGACUUUGCAUUAGGCCUCUCACGAGCUUCAUAUUGUAAACAUCGGGUGGCUAACCUCACCAGUUCAGUUCCAUCAUCAUUAGAAAAAUGACCCUCUAAACAAGAAUCCAUCAGCAUCAGGAAAUUCUUCCCCCGAAUGAGAUCAAGUGCCUGUGAGAUGGCAAUCACAUAGUACCUCAAAUAUCAGAUUUCCAUCCAAAUUAACAGAUAAUUCUUGAAUUCUGCAGCAUUCUCCACCAAUCACAAGGAAUAGUGGCAUGCAACUGACACACAAUGUUUCUCAAUAAUAUAGGGUGCACACGAAACCUUAAAAUUCAACCCUUUACACAGUUAGCUUACAUGGCUGGGUGGAAUAUGUUUGCCACUCAAAAGAUCAAGCAACAUGGUUCCAAAGCUGUAAACUACACUUUCUGGUGUCACUCUUCCUGCAAAUAUUAGGACAUGUUAUCCAUCUCAUGCACAAAUUGGGUGCACAGUGCACGGUAAAUUUUUGAAGAAGAUCAUUAUACUACAAGAAGAAUUAGUUUAGAAUGCAUUCAACCUGUCCUUAAGUAUUCCGGAGGAGUGAAAGCCAAAUUUGUGCUGUAACUUUUGCCAUCUCUACUAUUCUUCAUCAAGCCAAAGCAAGAAAGCCUAGGAUUACCAUCCUGCAGGGUCAUAUUGAGCCGUCAUGUUGCAGAGAAGAAAGCGUAUUUAGAAUGGCAGCCAUAGUGCAUCCAAAACAUGAAAGACGAGGGAUAUUGAGGUCAGAUAUACUUCACCUGAUCAAAUAGGACUCUGUAAGCAUUAAGAUCAUGGUACAAUGCCCUUCCCUUGCUACUACAGUACUCCAAAGCUUGUGCCAAGUACAAUGCCACCCUCAGCCUCAUUGCCCAUUUCAUGGGCUGGUUUUCCCCUAGUCCAUACAGCCCAUAAUUAAGAUCAGAAUUGCAAUGAUAGCCAUAAAGGAAGGGUUUUUGGUGAUGGCGAUCAAUCUCAAUGAUUUCAAUUACACAUUUGAAUAUUUCAAAUUAGAACGAAUAUAAAAGUUUACAUGAUGUGUGAUUCUAGUUUUUAAGUUAACGUGCUUCUGCCCUAAUAAAGUGUACUAGAGAGGGAGGCUAGGAUUAGAGGCAACUCCAGUAAUUAGAGAAUUCAGCAUGUAAAAUCUGCAAACUGUACAUAAUCUUGAUGAAUACCGGCUUUAACCUUCUGUACUAGAGUCAAACCAAUGACUUUUCAAGACAUGGAUUGAGCAAUAACGGUUUGCAUUCUUGAAAAUAAUUGAUAAACAUGUAAGCAUUUCGUCCACACCACCUAAGCAUUUAGAAACUACAUAAACAAGAGCGGAAAAAAAAACUCACAAUGAAAUAAAUGCUUGGCGAGCGUUUCAUUGGGCAUAAACUCCGCCACCAGCAAUCUCUCCUCCGACUCGCAGCAGCACCCUAUAAGAUUCGCUAAUCUCUCGCUCCUCAAAUUCCCCACUGUCCUGGCCUCAUCCUACGACAACCAAUCGAUCAAGAAAGCCAAAAAAGGAAGAAGAAAAAGUUGCUUCGAAUCUCCUCAAGGAAUGCAACAUUGGUUUGUCUGACAAGUCUCAGAUAAGAGCUGAAAAGGUUUCUGGUUUUGUUGGCCUCGGUUUGAAAAAGGGGAUGCUUGGUAAGUUCUGUUUAUUCUGCUUGCAAACAUUUUGAAGUUUCCCGUUUAGAUUCAGGGCAUCUUGUCUCCAUUAAUUCCCGUCUCUUAAUAUUUCAUCAUUCUAGUUUUGGCUAGCUUUCUUUUUCCCUGUGUUAUUCAUGCUGGCAUAAGUGUGAGCAUAUUGUUGAGUGCCAUCAGUAAGGUUGGCCAUAUGCCAACUUUACCUAAAUUUUUAGACGAAAAAUAGAUUUUGAGGAUGUUAACAAUCUUAAUAUGAACUGAUAAAUGUCAUGAAACUGGCCCUUGCCAACUUUACUUUUAAUUGCUAAACGAAAUAAUGACACCCAAUUUCUGCCAUUUCUUUCCUAGAGGCUGAAACGAAAUGAGAGAAACUUUUCUCAAGUGUUAACUUGUUUUCCUUAUUUCAUAACUUGAGUUCUCUUAUCCUUUUAGCUUCCAUUCAUUGCCAAACUAGGCCUUAAGAACUUGAGAUUGCAAACUGUGGAUGCUGGAUUUCCCUUCAAGUUCUUGAAAGAACUGAAGUUGCCCAUCAUCCCCUCCUACAAGUGCUCAGGAACAGAUUGCAGGAUGCAGCUGAAAGAUUAUCAGCUGACAAAUAAUUAUUCUACUACAGUAAUGUGAUUAUGCAAUGAUGAUGAUUUAUAUAAUUUUAUAAUUAACUAGUGUGCAGGUCUUUUGAUUAGAAAUGAGUAUAUACAUCUUAGCACUUGAAUGCAGAUUUAGGAAUUCAGCAUUGCUGUAGCAUGCUUCUUGAUUACUUGGCCUUUCUUUUAAGAUGGUCUAAGACUUUGUUUGUUCAGAGCAGUUCCUGUUAGGCAUGUUUCUCGUCCAUGCCUGUUGAAAAUAUGUCGAGUCAAAAGUGAGGACUCAGAAGGAAUUUUAACGGGAGAAAGCAUCAUAGUAGAUGAGCAGACGCUGGAGCGGGAAUUACAGAUUGCAAUAGAAGAGGAGAACUAUACCAAAGCAGCAGAAAUAAGAGAUAGCCUUCGGUCUCUCCAGAGUGACAGCAAGGCUUCUGUGUUAGCAGCUAAUACUCGCUUUUACAACACAUUCAGAAACGGGGAUCUAGCAGCUUUGCAAGCACUAUGGUCAAAGGGUGAUAAUGCAUGUGUUGUGCACCCUGGUGUGAGUGGCAUAUCUGGCUAUGAUCUUGUGAUGGGAAGCUGGGAGUUUGUGUGGGCUGACUAUGAAUUCCCACUGGAAAUCGAGAUCAAGGAUGUUCAAGUUCACGUUAGAGGGGAUGUAGGAUAUGUUACAUGCAUUGAAAUGGUUAAGACAAAGGGUAGCAGCUGGGGUAAACAGUUUGCCACUAAUGUCUUUGAGAAAAUUGAGGGUCAGUGGAAAAUAUGCAUUCACCAUGCAUCAUAUGUUGACUUGUGAAAUGGAUUUUGAGGACGUUAAGGAAAUGUAGUGGGCAUUAGGCAACGGCUUUUAGUAACUGUAAUUCUGUCCAAGGUGUAUCCUCAACUUUGAAUUUUGAUGUACCUGCAUGCUAUCAAAUUUUGCCAAAAAGUUUGUAACAAAUGCGUCUGCCGAUAUGCAGAGGCACAUUCAAGCAUGGUGGCUUAAGUUUUGGUUGAGGUUGGUGUGUUGACACAAUACUUAACGGGUCCGUUGCUGCUACAGAUUAGUCCUAUUCCAUUAACUAAUAGUUGUAGUCUUCUGAGGCCCUGCGCAAUUCAAAUCACCGUGGUUGGCUUGCUUUAAUGCAUUCUACUGCUAUGGUAUGGAUUCUACUUAAAUUUGAGCCUUCAGCAAACGUUUAGUUGGACAUCUUUGUUUAUAAGAACGUGAACAACACCUUGCUUGACUAAAUACGGCUGCAAAUGUCUGCAUUUCAUAGAACAUCGUUUAGUUACUCUUUGUUUCUGAAAGCAGCUUUUCGCCUGGACCCUUGUUGAUUAAUCUCUCGUGACAAGAAAAGUGUCCAGCGUAAGCAGCUUUUAAUUGUUUCCAUCGUAAAGUUGCUCUUUUCUUUCCAUUUCUGAGAGAUAAGAAAGGUGUCCAGUAACAUAUUUGAACUGUCCAUUUCUAACGGAUAAGAAAGUCUCCAGUAUAUGCAAGUAGUUCCAGGAGUUCAGGUUGCAGAAUGCAAUCUAGUUCUCCAUGUGUUUUUUUAGCAUGAGUAGUAUUAUUGCCUACAUAUACAUGUAACAAAUUACAGAGGCCAAUACAAUUCCUUACUAGCUGACUUCUGUAUUUCGGAAGUCUAGGUGUGAAAAUCACUGCAAACUAGCAGUCUAGUCAGAUGUACACUUGUUCCUUGGGUCUUAAAAUCUCUUAUUUACACCUAGCGAGCCAAACUCCCAAUAAUCAGGCACUCAAAUCCUCCCUACUGGUGAGGGGGGAGGCGAUGAAACAU